AUUGAACGCUGGCGGCAGGCCUAACACAUGCAAGUCGAGCGGAUGAAGGGAGCUUGCUCCUGGAUUCAGCGGCGGACGGGUGAGUAAUGCCUAGGAAUCUGCCUGGUAGUGGGGGAUAACGUCCGGAAACGGGCGCUAAUACCGCAUACGUCCUGAGGGAGAAAGUGGGGGAUCUUCGGACCUCACGCUAUCAGAUGAGCCUAGGUCGGAUUAGCUAGUUGGUGGGGUAAAGGCCUGCCAAGGCGACGAUCCGUAACUGGUCUGAGAGGAUGAUCAGUCACACUGGAACUGAGACACGGUCCAGACUCCUACGGGAGGCAGCAGUGGGGAAUAUUGGACAAUGGGCGAAAGCCUGAUCCAGCCAUGCCGCGUGUGUGAAGAAGGUCUUUGGAUUGUAAAGCACUUUAAGUUGGGAGGAAGGGCAGUAAGUUAAUACCUUGCUGUUUUGACGUUACCAACAGAAUAAGCACCGGCUAACUUCGUG
rnacentral:rRNA from 1 species